rnacentral:misc_RNA from 1 species
GAUGAAGAACGUAGCGAAAUGCGAUAAGUAAUGUGAAUUGCAGAAUUCAGUGAAUCAUCGAAUCUUUGAACGCACAUUGCGCCCGUCAGUAUUCUGGCGGGCAUGCCUGUUCGAGCGUCAUUACGCCCCUCAAGUCCCCUGUGGACUUGGUGUUGGGGAUCGGCGAGGCUGGUUUUCCAGCACAGCCGUCCCUUAAAUUAAUUGGCGGUCUCGCCGUGGCCCUCCUCUGCGCAGUAGUAAAACACUCGCAACAGGAGCCCGGCGCGGUCCCCUGCCGUAAAACCCCCCAACUUUUUAUAGUUGACCUCGAAUCAGGUAGGACUACCCGCUGAACUUAAGCAUAUCAAUAAGCGGAGGA